rnacentral:rRNA from 1 species
CAGGCUUAACACAUGCAAGUCGAGGGGCAGCGGGGGUGAUGGCUUGCCAUCACCUGCCGGCGACCGGCGCACGGGUGAGUAACACGUAUGCAACCUGCCCUCUUCAGGGGGACAACCUUCCGAAAGGGAGGCUAAUCCCGCGUAUAUCGGUUUCGGGCAUCCGAGAUCGAGGAAAGAUUCAUCGGAAGAGGAUGGGCAUGCGGCGCAUUAGCUAGACGGCGGGGUAACGGCCCACCGUGGCGACGAUGCGUAGGGGUUCUGAGAGGAAGGUCCCCCACACUGGUACUGAGACACGGACCAGACUCCUACGGGAGGCAGCAGUGAGGAAUAUUGGUCAAUGGGAGAGAUCCUGAACCAGCCAAGCCGCGUGAGGGAAGACGGCCCUAUGGGUUGUAAACCUCUUUUGUCGGAGAACAAAACCCGGGACGAGUCCCGGACUGCGUGUAUCCGAAGAAAAAGCAUCGGCUAACUCCGUGCCAGCAGCCGCGGUAAUACGGAGGAUGCGAGCGUUAUCCGGAUUUAUUGGGUUUAAAGGGUGCGUAGGCGGUCCGUUAAGUCAGCGGUAAAAUUGCGGGGCUCAACCCCGUCGAGCCGUUGAAACUGGCAGACUUGAGUUGGCGAGAAGUACGCGGAAUGCGCGGUGUAGCGGUGAAAUGCAUAGAUAUCGCGCAGAACUCCGAUUGCGAGGGCAGCGUACCGGCGCCAGACUGACGCUGAGGCACGAAAGCGUGGGGAUCGAACAGGAUUAGAUACCCUGGUAGUCCACGCAGUAAACGAUGAAUGCUGGUUGUCCGGGUCGAAUGAGAUCUGGGCGGCGAAGCGAAAGCGAUAAGCAUUCCACCUGGGGAGUACGCCGGCAACGGUGAAACUCAAAGGAAUUGACGGGGGCCCGCACAAGCGGAGGAACAUGUGGUUUAAUUCGAUGAUACGCGAGGAACCUUACCCGGGCUCAAACGGGAGCGGAAUGGACCAGAGACGGUUCAGCCUACGGGCCGCUUCCGAGGUGCUGCAUGGUUGUCGUCAGCUCGUGCCGUGAGGUGUCGGCUUAAGUGCCAUAACGAGCGCAACCCCGCCGGCAGUUGCUAACGGGCAAUGCCGAGGACUCUGCCGGGACUGCCGCCGCAAGGCGUGAGGAAGGCGGGGAUGACGUCAAAUCAGCACGGCCCUUACGUCCGGGGCGACACACGUGUUACAAUGGGCGGUACAGCGGGAAGCCAGGCGGCGACGCCGAGCGGAACCCGAAAGCCGUUCUCAGUUCGGAUCGGAGUCUGCAACCCGACUCCGUGAAGCUGGAUUCGCUAGUAAUCGCGCAUCAGCCAUGGCGCGGUGAAUACGUUCCCGGGCCUAGUACACACCGCCCGUCAAGCCAUGGGAGCCGGGGGUGCUUGAAGU